UUGAACGCUGGCGGCAUGCCUUACACAUGCAAGUCGAACGGCAGCACGGGGGCAACCCUGGUGGCGAGUGGCGAACGGGUGAGUAAUACAUCGGAACGUGUCCUGUAGUGGGGGAUAGCCCGGCGAAAGCCGGAUUAAUACCGCAUACGAUCUACGGAAGAAAGCGGGGGAUCGCAAGACCUCGCGCUAUAGGGGCGGCCGAUGGCAGAUUAGCUAGUUGGUGGGGUAAAGGCCUACCAAGGCGACGAUCUGUAGCUGGUCUGAGAGGACGACCAGCCACACUGGGACUGAGACACGGCCCAGACUCCUACGGGAGGCAGCAGUGGGGAAUUUUGGACAAUGGGGGAAACCCUGAUCCAGCAAUGCCGCGUGUGUGAAGAAGGCCUUCGGGUUGUAAAGCACUUUUGUCCGGAAAGAAAACCUUUGCACUAAUACUGUGAGGGGAUGACGGUACCGGAAGAAUAAGCACCGGCUAACUACGU
rnacentral:rRNA from 1 species